rnacentral:rRNA from 1 species
GAGCUGGGUUCAGAACGUCGUGAGACAGUUCGGUCCCUAUCCGUCGCAGGCGUAGGAAAUUUGAGAAGACCUGUCCUUAGUACGAGAGGACCGGGAUGGACGUACCUCUGGUGUACCAGUUGUCCUGCCAAGGGCAUGGCUGGGUAGCUAUGUACGGAAUGGAUAAGCGCUGAAAGCAUCUAAGCGCGAAGCCAACUUCAAGAUAAGAUUUCCCACCGCAAGGGUAAGACCCCAGAAAGACUAUCUGGUUGAUAGGUCGAAGGUGUAAGUGCAGCAAUGUAUUUAGCUUAUCGAUACUAAUAGGUCGAGGACUUGACCAAU